GGGCCGUUGGCGCAGCUGGUAGCGCGUCUGCAUGGCAUGCAGAAGGUCACCGGUUCAAAUCCGGUACGGUCCA
rnacentral:tRNA from 1 species